AUUGAACGCUGGCGGCAGGCCUAACACAUGCAAGUCGAGCGGAUGAAGGGAGCUUGCUCCUGGAUUCAGCGGCGGACGGGUGAGUAAUGCCUAGGAAUCUGCCUGGUAGUGGGGGAUAACGUCCGGAAACGGGCGCUAAUACCGCAUACGUCCUGAGGGAGAAAGUGGGGGGUCUUCGGACCUCACGCUAUCAGAUGAGCCUAGGUCGGAUUAGCUAGUUGGUGGGGUAAAGGCCUACCAAGGCGACGAUCCGUAACUGGUCUGAGAGGAUGGUCAGUCACACUGGAACUGAGACACGGUCCAGACUCCUGCGGGAGGCAGCAGUGGGGAAUAUUGGACAAUGGGCGAAAGCCUUAUCCAGCCAUGCCGCGUGUGUGAAGAAGGUCUUCGGAUUGUAAAGCACUUUAAGUUGGGAGGAAGGGCAGUAAGUUAAUACCUUGCUGUUUUGACGUUACCAACAGAAUAAGCACCGGCUAACUUCGUG
rnacentral:rRNA from 1 species